GACAAACAAUAACGCAAGAAUCAACAGACGUGCCUCAACUUGAAACGUAAAGCUAAAUAGCCAGCCGUUCGGACUAAAAUGUAGUUGAUCACACUAGACCGACAAUGGACCAAGAGUAGGAACUUUGUGUUAAAUCGAACUGUUCCAGGAAUUUCUGAGGGAAUCGAAAAUGGCAGUAAGAAUCUGAACGGGCUAGCGGAGCGCGGUCGUAAGCGUAAAUGGACAACAUGGAGCCUUCGAAACCGUAGCGCGCGAAACUGAAAUAAGUUAACCAACGCAGAGGGGAAGGUAUUGAAUCAAAGGUAACGAAAAAUCCAGGCACUAGAAAUAUGGGAACGGUACUAGUGACAGCUAGAAAAGAGGCCGUUUGGAUAUCGAAUGCAGCGCCGAAAAACAGACCGAGUCCUUGUCCCACUAGCGACAACCAGAUCAUAAUAACUAGCAGUUAUUGAUUGCAGAGUCAGAGACCAAUGUUUGGAAUCUGAUAUUCUAGCCCUCGAAACCCCGGCUGCCCUUCUGCUUCAACAAGGGUAUAAAGCAAUUAAAAUUUCAGGAGGUAAACAUUGAAAUUGAAACCAAAAACAAAUCAGACAUUUUUAGUUGGCUUUUUUGCUUAAUGUUAUUGUUACACUUAACUUUUGAAAACAUGGAAUGCAUAUGUUCAGGGUCAAGUUAAUGAAAUGGUUGAGUAAAAAAUGAAUUUUACAUUACUGUUGAUUGUUGAACAGGUCCCAACUCAGUUUACGAAGCGGAUGCCCCACUAUACGACCCAGACAGUGUUGCCACCGUGCAACUUUUCCCAUUUUUUGCAAGGUUUUCGUGGUUUUUCGUCUUUUUUGCAAGGUUUUCUUAAUUUUUUUUAUAAAAUCAAAGAAAUGCAUAAAUUGCAGAGUCAUAGCCACCUGGUUCCUCCAAUAGGGCUAUUAUCCCCCUCAGAAAAGGGGUAUCCUCUUGCGGGAAAUGCUAUUUUUAAAAAUGGUGUUUUGGGUCGGGACAUGGUGACGCGAGUGCCCUCUGGCUACAAACGAGUUUCUGCGUGGAGUGAAACAACACACACGCAAGAGGCACUCUCUCAGGGGUUGAAAAUCACUCUUACGCCCCAACCCAAGACCCUCGUUUUUUUGUAUAGUCUCAUCUGUCAAUCCCCUGAAUAAUAUAGAUGGUGAAAAGAGUUUUAAAAAAAUUUUAAGCCAACACUACCAUUGAAUGAUUAUAACAAUUAUCAAAUUAGUUUUACUAUUUAGAAAAACUGGUCUUGUUUACGGAACGCUCAGCGUCAACAUCUUAAUGAGAUUUAACUGCUAUGCCUAAAUACCUGAUAACCUAGUAGACUAAUUAUGUUUAAGUUUUUAAUGGAAAUAAACAACCAAGCUGAAUUUAAAAAAAAUAUAUUGAAAAUUUAAAAAAAUUGGCGCAAAAAUACGAAAAAAUUAGAUUUUGCAGGCUUUUUUGUCUACUAAAAAUCUGUUUGGAUGCGGAUGACUUCCUAAUGCUUAAAUUUCCGUUCUUAUGUCAAGGAAAAGAAUACCCUCUUCCGAUUUACCUUUGCGGAUCGAUAUAACCUCGAGAUAAGAAUAAUGCUUCACAGUUUUCUUUUAAAAAUUGAAGAUAAGUACAUUUUUAUUUCAAAGUACAAAGUUAUUAAAUUACGUGAGCAGUGAAGUUGAGGAAGUGAACAUUAUUCCGAUUGAUGCACCGGACGGCGAAGAAACUCGAACCAAAUAGCGACCACUUUUCUAAUACCUCUGCAAACAAGACAAUAAAUUACACUUCAAUUAGUUUUAAUCGUGGGCUUACAGGCAGAAAAAACCGACAGACCUAGAACUUCAGCUUUGUCCUGAGAUGGUUCAAAACGUUCAACUUGAUUGGAAAUCUUCAGUCCUAUUUUUCCAGUCCUAUUUCCUAUUUCACCACCAAUCGCACCUAAAGAUAUGAAAACAUUGUCUGACAGCAAAUAAAAACUGAAAGAAGUA